rnacentral:rRNA from 1 species
UACGUAGGGUGCAAGCGUUAAUCGGAAUUACUGGGCGUAAAGCGUGCGCAGGCGGUUUUGUAAGUCUGUCGUGAAAGCCCCGGGCUCAACCUGGGAAUUGCGAUGGAGACUGCAAGGCUAGAAUCUGGCAGAGGGGGGUAGAAUUCCACGUGUAGCAGUGAAAUGCGUAGAGAUGUGGAGGAACACCGAUGGCGAAGGCAGCCCCCUGGGUCAAGAUUGACGCUCAUGCACGAAAGCGUGGGGAGCAGACAGG